rnacentral:rRNA from 1 species
UACGUAGGGGGCAAGCGUUGUCCGGAUUUAUUGGGCGUAAAGAGCGUGUAGGCGGCCAUUCAGGUCAGCUGUGAAAACUCGAGGCUCAACCUCGAGACGUCGGUUGAAACCGUAUGGCUAGAGUCCGGAAGAGGAGAGUGGAAUUCCCGGUGUAGCGGUGAAAUGCGCAGAUAUCAGGAGGAACACCGAUGGCGAAGGCAGAUCUCUGGGCCGUAACUGACGCUGAGGAGCGAAAGCGUGGGGAGCGAACAGG